rnacentral:tRNA from 1 species
GGUGGCUCAGUGAUAGAGUGCUUGCCUUGCAUGCACGAGGCCCUGGGUUCAAUUCUCAGUACCA